rnacentral:rRNA from 1 species
UGGGGAAUAUUGGACAAUGGGCGCAAGCCUGAUCCAGCCAUGCCGCGUGAGUGAUGAAGGCCCUAGGGUUGUAAAGCUCUUUCACCGGUGAAGAUAAUGACGGUAACCGGAGAAGAAGCCCCGGCUAACUUCGUGCCAGCAGCCGCGGUAAUACGAAGGGGGCUAGCGUUGUUCGGAUUUACUGGGCGUAAAGCGCACGUAGGCGGACUUUUAAGUCAGGGGUGAAAUCCCGGGGCUCAACCCCGGAACUGCCUUUGAUACUGGAAGUCUUGAGUAUGGUAGAGGUGGGUGGAACUCCGAGUGUAGAGGUGAAAUUCGUAGAUAUUCGGAGGAACACCAGUGGCGAAGGCGGCUCACUGGACCAUUACUGACGCUGAGGUGCGAAAGCGUGGGGAGCAAACAGG